rfam:Zootermopsis nevadensis contig25130, whole genome shotgun sequence.
GCCACGGUGGUCUAGCGGUUAGAACGCUGGCCUUGUAAUCCUGGGGUCUCGGGUUCGAUUCCUGGCGGUGCCC